GAUGAAUGCUAGCUACAGGCUUAACACAUGCAAGUCGAGGGGUAGCAGGGUAGCAAUACCGCUGACGACCGGCGCACGGGUGAGUAACACGUAUCCAACCUUCCCAUAACUCGGGGAUAGCCUUUCGAAAGAAAGAUUAAUACCCGAUAGUACUUUUUCAAGGCAUCUUGAGAAAGUUAAAGAUUUAUUGGUUAUGGAUGGGGAUGCGUUCCAUUAGAUAGUUGGUGAGGUAACGGCUCACCAAGUCUUCGAUGGAUAGGGGUUCUGAGAGGAAGGUCCCCCACAUUGGUACUGAGACACGGACCAAACUCCUACGGGAGGCAGCAGUGAGGAAUAUUGGUCAAUGGGCAGAGCCUGAACCAGCCAAGUAGCGUGAAGGAUGAAGGUCCUAUGGAUUGUAAACUUCUUUUAUAGUAGAAUAAAGUGAUCCACGUGUGGAUUUUUGUAUGUAUACUAUGAAUAAGGAUCGGCUAACUCCGUG
rnacentral:rRNA from 1 species